rnacentral:rRNA from 1 species
GAUGAACGCUGGCGGCGUGCCUAAUACAUGCAAGUCGAGCGAACAGACGAGGAGCUUGCUCCUCUGACGUUAGCGGCGGACAGGUGAGUAACACGUGGAUAACCUACCUAUAAGACUGGGAUAACUUCGGGAAACCGGAGCUAAUACCGGAUAAUAUAUUGAGCCGCAUGGUUCAAUAGUGAAAGACGGUUUUGCUGUCACUUAUAGAUGGAUCCGCGCCGCAUUAGCUAGUUGGUAAGGUAACGGCUUACCAAGGCGACGAUGCGUAGCCGACCUGAGAGGGUGAUCGGCCACACUGGAACUGAGACACGGUCCAGACUCCUACGGGAGGCAGCAGUAGGGAAUCUUCCGCAAUGGGCGAAAGCCUGACGGAGCAACGCCGCGUGAGUGAUGAAGGUCUUCGGAUCGUAAAACUCUGUUAUUAGGGAAGAACAAAUGUGUAAGUAACUAUGCACGUCUUGACGGUACCUAAUCAGAAAGCCACGGCUAACUACGUG